AACGCCAUAUGCCACCAGUUUUGGAUAACUGCAGAGUUAUAUUCAGUUGGACGCACGUUGUCAAUAAAAAAUAAAAUAAAAACAUGCCACACACUGCGUGUCGUUGUGUUGCUUAUAUGGAUUCCAAAUCGACAGAAAAAAGUGUAUACUGGUGGCAGCUGUUAUUGUCGCCUGGCGCUGCAUUUCCAAGCUGUCCACACAAGAAAUCGGAAACCGAACGCAGUCGGAACGAGGUGUUUAGAUAGAACACUGUCGACAAAAUACAGCGAAAACUGGAUCGAUCCCAAGGCAACUUAAGCAAUUAAGCAGGCAACGCGACGUCAAGCGAGCUCCUUGGCAGACGCGCGUCAGACUGGUA